rnacentral:rRNA from 1 species
AUUGAACGCUGGCGGCAGGCCUAACACAUGCAAGUCGAGCGGCAGCGGGAAAGUAGCUUGCUCUUUGGGUGGCGAGUGGCGGACGGGUGAGUAAUGUCUGGGAAACUGCCCGAUGGAAGGGGAUAACUACUGGAAACGGUAGCUAAUACCGCAUAACGUCGCAAGACCAAAGUGGGGGACCUUCGGGCCUCACACCAUCGGAUGUGCCCAGAUGGGAUUAGCUAGUAGGUGGGGUAAUGGCUCACCUAGGCGACGAUCCCUAGCUGGUCUGAGAGGAUGACCAGCCACACUGGAACUGAGACACGGUCCAGACUCCUACGGGAGGCAGCAGUGGGGAAUAUUGCACAAUGGGCGCAAGCCUGAUGCAGCCAUGCCGCGUGUAUGAAGAAGGCCUUCGGGUUGUAAAGUACUUUCAGCGGGGAGGAAGGCGGUGAGGUUAAUAACCUUGCCGAUUGACGUUACCCGCAGAAGAAGCACCGGCUAACUCCGUGCCAGCCGCCGCGGUAA